AUGCCAGUUCUCCCUCUCAGGUCAGGUGAACACAGACGCUGUCACAUGACUCGUGUUUUGACAGCCUCAGCGCUUUUGAAUGUUUUCUCAUUGUGUAGCUGCAGUCCGUCAGCUGUGAAACACGAGCGAAGUGUCCGGUAACAUGUCCCGCUCCGGCUCACACUCUCACCGGGUGCGGUGGUGGUGUUUAAUAGUGGCUGUGGUCGCUGUGUGGGUGCAGCAGGUGGAGGGAGUCUGGCCGCUGCCGCAGCAGCUCCAUCAGUCCGCGGACAGGGACUGUCUGAGUCCUCAGCGCUUCUCCUUCACUUACGGGAGGGACUCGGCUGCGCAGACUGGAUGCUCCGUCCUGGAUGCUGCUUUCAAAAGAUACUUCUCCAUCAUAUUCCCUGACUUCACAACACUAUCAGAAAAUGUGCUUCAGUACAUGUGGUCGGAGCCUCAACCCUUUGUGGUAUCAGUGAGCGUCAAAACCAGAGGAUGUGACGGCUACCCUGACGAAGAUUCAGAUGAGAGCUAUACGCUGAGUGUGUCAGAGGGCCAGGCUGUGCUGAGAUCAGUGUCUGUAUGGGGCGCUUUGAGAGGUCUGGAGUCCUUAAGUCAGCUUGUGUACCAGGAUGAUUAUGGCACUUAUUUUAUCAACAAGACAGAGAUUGUAGACUUCCCACGCUUUGCAUUCAGAGGACUUUUACUGGACACUUCAAGGCAUUAUUUACCUCUCUAUGCUAUUUUGAAGACUCUGGAUGCAAUGGCCUACAGUAAAUUGAAUGUCUUUCAUUGGCACAUUGUGGAUGAUCCUUCCUUCCCGUAUCAGAGCCGCACUUUUCCUGACCUCAGUAAUAAGGGAGCUUUUCAUCCGUUCACUCACAUCUACACACAGUCAGAUGUGAUCAGGGUGAUUGAACAUGCCAGAAUGAGAGGGAUUAGAGUCGUUCCUGAGUUUGACUCUCCUGGACACACUCAGUCAUGGGGGAAAGGACAGCCAGGUCUCUUGACUCCCUGUUACAAGGGCAGUGUGCCGUCUGGUUCAUUCGGACCUGUCGAUCCAACAGUAGACACUACUUAUAAGUUCAUGGCAAGCCUCUUGAAAGAGGUGAAGUUUGUCUUUCCUGACUCUUAUGUUCAUUUAGGAGGGGAUGAGGUCAGUUUUGCCUGCUGGCAGUCAAAUCCCAAUGUGCGGAAGUUUAUGGAAAAGAUGGGUUUUGGGAAGGAUUUUACUAAACUGGAAUCAUUCUAUAUGGAGAGUAUAAUGAACAUGACCGCCGCUCUCAACAAAACCUCCAUUGUUUGGCAGGACGUGUUUGACUACCAUGAGCGACCCAGAUCUAAGUACGUGGUGGAGGUCUGGAAGCAGGGCUGUUACCUGUGCAAGAUGCGCCGGGUGACUAAGGCAGGGUUAAAGGUCAUCCUGGCGGCCCCUUUCUACCUGGACCUGCCGAUACCCACUCACAGCUGGGCCCGUUACUACAACGUGCGGCCCUUAGCCUUCAGGGAUUCCACAGGACACGGUUCUGGAGAUCUGGAAGGGUGCAAAAUACCAGACUGAACUGAGCAGGAUGACCCAGGCUGGGCACAGGGUCCUGCUCUCUGCCCCCUGGUACAUCAACCACAUCAGCUACGGCCAGGACUGGCGCAACUCCUACGCAGUGCAGCCCCAGAAUUUCUCCGGCACAGAUGAGCAAAAGAAGUUGGUGAUUGGUGGAGAAGUCGCCAUGUGGGGUGAAUACGUGGACGCCACCAAUCUGAGCCCACGCCUGUGGCCGAGAGCCUGUGCUGCAGCGGAGAGGUUGUGGAGCAAUGAAGAAAAAACCCUGAACGCUGAUCUGGCCUUCCCACGUCUGAAGGAGUUUCGCUGUGAACUUUUAAGGCGGGGUAUUCAAGCGGAGCCUCUGUUUGUUGGCCAUUGCAGACAUGAGUAUGAUGGCCUGUAAGUUCUCUGAUCAGCCACUAAAUUGUGUUUGGGCACUGAAAUAUUGCUUUGGAAUUUGCUCAAUACUGUAUAUUUUGAUCAGUUUAUUAUUGAUCAUGUAAACUGACUUUUACAAAAUAAUUUUUUUAAUAAAGAUCUAUUCAACAAUGA